rnacentral:rRNA from 1 species
GACAGAGGAUGCAAACGUUGCUCGGAUUUACUGGGCGUAAAGCGCAUGUAGGCGGUUUCGUAAGUCAGACGUGAAAUCCCGGGGCUCAACCUCGGAAGUGCAUCUGAUACUGCGAGACUGGAGUACUGGAGAGGAGAGCGGAAUUCCCGGUGUAGAGGUGAAAUUCGUAGAUAUCGGGAGGAACACCAGUGGCGAAGGCGGCUCUCUGGACAGAUACUGACGCUGAGAUGCGAAAGCGUGGGGAGCAAACAGG